UUUUCGCUUGAACCCAUUGGACUCUGCAAACGCCUUAAAGAAAAAUAGAUGAAACUUGUUAGGAAAAUCAAGUGAAGAAAAAGAGUCUAACUGAUGAACCAAAACAGUUGGGAUAUAUUCAGAUUUUAAAAGUCAUUAGCUUUUGAAGUAAUGAGUUAUCUAAGCUAUGGUACCCUUUAUUCUAUGAGAUUUAAUUACCCUAUGAUUUUUUCUAAACAAUCACAAUAAAUAAAAAAUCAUAUGAUAUUAGUGUUAGUUCCACAAAUACAACAUAUAAACAUGAAUGGGCUUAUAGCAGCAUUGAAAUAAAGUAAGGGAAGGGGCUGGACUCUGUGUUGGGCUGACAACAGGUCAGAUCCAAUUUAAAUUUUAAGCAACAACGGGCUUCAGCGAAUAGUGACUGCAAAUGAAGGAGAGGGUCCAGCUUAGUUGCUAUGGCCAGAGUUCACCGUGAACUGCACAGGCCCAAUGGUUCAUGCAAAAGAAGAAAAGCCAAUUCUUUUAGUACAAUAUGUAGGAAACAAUAAUAAAACAUAUCAUGAACAUAAUUAUGGUCUGAAAUGACAUAAAUAAAUCUAUUUUUGUUUGUGACAACCCCGUAGAUAUUAGUCAAGGUCAACUACUACUAGCUAGAGUGAACCAAAUCUACUUACAAGAUUGCCCUAUAAACCUCAUACACUUGAGAGUUCACAAGGGCCUCGUGGACCCCGAGCAGUGCUUGUGUUAGGGAGGACCCCCCUGGUGGUAGAAUUAGGUUCACAACAUAAACUUUUAGUCAUUGAGCCUUGUUCUUCCAUAGAGGUUUAAACACAAACCAAGAUCCCAAUACCUUGAGAAAACAGAAUAUUCAGAACAUCAAACAAACACAAACACAAAACAUUUCUUUCAACACAGAAGGCCUUAAGCCCCCGUGAACAUGGCAAGCUUAUGAACUAAGUAGAUCACAAAUAUUCCCAAUCAAUUAAAUUUAUAUCACAGUCAGUUAGACAAAGAAUCAUUGAAGGAUUAGAGCAUUAGCACAUGCUUCAAAUCCAAAGUAUCCUUAGUAAAUGAUCAUUGUUAAAGUACAUGAUGGAAAGAUAUAUCAUCACACAGGACCUUAGGGAUGUUAAAAGACUUCAAAAAGCUUCAGAAUAAACUCAGAAUUACUUUACAUAUCAUGGCAUUUUCAUGAUCUUCCUAGGACUCACUAUUUUAGCCAAACAAGAUCAGAAGCAAGUCACAAAAUGAAGGCUGAUAGUCAGUUAUUCUCAUAAGUACAUUUACCACAUAAAAGACACUUUAAAUUGUUCAAUGUCAAUCAAAACACUUAUCUAAUUUGUCAAUAAAGUUGACAGGAAGCUUUUAUCCAAACACAUACUUAUCCUCAGGGUCAAGGGUCUAAUACCUCACAAGAAUAUGAUUAGCCAUGGUUUUUUUAAACAGGUUUAGAUCAUCAAAACAAAACCAUAUGACACCAGACCAAACUCAAAUAGUCCCACACAGUAAAUAGGUAUAUAGUUGAGAGAUCAUCCACUUCAUUGCAUAUGAAGUAACCUAAGCUAAACAUUUAGACAGUAGAAUUAACCUCACAAGAAAUCGCACUAACAUAGGUGACAACAAGAACGAUUCAACAUGAUAAAGUAGUUAGACUUAGUCCCAAAUUGAACCCUAUAGGCAUGGAAUCUAUAAUAGUUUGUAGUGAAGGAAAAAGCAUUUAGUUGAAUCAUCAAGCAGCCUAGAUCAAAAGUACUCAACCAAUAGGCUAGGUAGUAUUGCCUCAAGUCAAUUAAGGUAUUCUAGAUAUAGUCUUCAUAACCAUAAAUAGUAAGUAGGAUAAAAUAUUAGCAUGUGUGGUUGCAAGUUAACAGACAUUUAACUUAAUGAAAGUAUGAUUACCUCUAAACCAUAAAUGGAACAUGUUAAAACAAGUGCUUAAAUCUUAUCACAUACUAUAUGUUAAUAUCAACAUAACAUGAUGUACAAGGAUCACUGCCUACAAGACUUCAAUUUACUAAGAAUGCUAACCUAAUAAGACACACAAUGCUAUCAAGUAACUAAGCAAGACAUUGUAAGAACCUAAACGACUAACAACAAAGAACCAGUAGCUAAGCAGAAAUAAACAUGGGAAACAAGAUUCAACUGUCACCAAGAAAUAUUUGUUGGCUAAGCAGAACAACAUAAGAGACAAACACAAUUGUUAAUAGUGAAUGCCGAUUAGCUAAGGAGAAAACAACAUGAGCAGCAAAACACAAAUGUCAAUGAAAGAUAUAUAUUGGUUAACAUAAUAUCAUAAGAGAGAGCAGAAACAUUGUUAAUAAAGAAAUAUCAAAUAGCUAAGUAGAAAUAAUAUGAGAAAAGCUACAAGCAAUUCAGACUUAUUAAAACAAAAUCAGAGGUUUACUGACCUUUCUAGGGGAAGCAAAUCAGGUAAUUACUCCAUACCAUUAAGAACCUGUGCAACCAACUCCAAACGAUUAAGCUCGAACAUAAUACGAAAAAGAAAAAAAAGAACUCAGACAAGUCUACUUAAGACUUAAAGGGAAUUCAAUUGUAGUGCAUUUACUAUUAUUCGAUUGUAGUUGUGUGUGUUGGUGAGAGAAUUAAAGCAUGAUAUAUAGAGCCAAGAUUGGGGCUUUAGGGUUUUGAGUUUAAGAUUCAAAAUUAGUAGAAGACACUGAAUAUCAAUGAACACUGAUGAGACAUCUUAUGACGAAAUCAAAGUAAAAAUAAGAAAUUAGAAGGGAAAAUAGACUAAAGAUUUUACCAAUUCAGAGGUGACUACCGGACUAGCCGUUUGAAGCCAAUGGACCUCCAAACAAAGCAUUUACCUAGAGGUCCCUGCAUUUGACCUGUGGGCUAUCAACCGUCACGAUGAGGUCAAGAUUCUUUCGAAUCUAUGGAUGCAUGUGAUGCCUUAAUGGAGAUUUGAACGAAUGAAUGCGGUGAUGAAGGGUAUGAUGAUGAGAUUCUUUGUCUUUCAUGUUUGGGUGUAGGGUUUCAGGAGUUGAGAUUUGUAAAUGAAUGAUGGAAAUGGGAAGUAUUCGGCUAGAUUCUCGGCUUAUCAGGGAGAGUGGUUGUCUUAUAGUUGUUUUCCAGUGCUCUUGCACACAUUUGUGUAAGGUUCAUGGAUGACAGAAAUUGGAGAGGAUGAGAGAAAAGUAAGAGGAAGGGAAAAUGGGGGUGGCUGGCAUAAGGAGAAAUUAUUAGGGUUAGGAGCGGUCUGGUGGGCUAAAAGUGAAGGGAUGGAUAUGGGCCGUUGGAUAACCAGAUCAACAGCUCAGAAUAUUAGUCUAAAAUAUAAAAUAAAAAUGACAUUUGAAGAUAAAACAAGGGCCGUUGGAUCAUUGUGAUCCAAGUUGGAUCAGAUAAAAGCAUGGAGGAAUUAUAGUUAAAAGGGGAAAUUGUG
rnacentral:lncRNA from 1 species